rnacentral:rRNA from 1 species
GACAGAGGGGGCAAGCGUUGCUCGGAAUUACUGGGCGUAAAGGGCGCGUAGGCGGGAUGGCAAAUCGGUCGUGAAAUCCCUCGGCUCAACCGAGGAACGUCGAUCGAUACUGCUGUUCUUGAGGAUUGCAGAGGAGACUGAAGAUUCCCGGUGUAGCGGUGAAAUGUGUAGGAGAUCGGGAGGAACACCGGUGGCGAAGGCGGGGUCUCUGGGCAAUUCCUGACGCUGAGGCGCGAAAGCGUGGGGAGCAAACGGG